GCCGGGUGUGGUGGCACAUGCCUGUAAUCCCCAUUACUCAGGAGGCUGAGGCAGGAGGAUCCCAAGUUUGAGGUCAGCCUCAGCAAUUUAGCGAGAACUUGUCUCAA
rnacentral:sRNA from 1 species